rfam:Ictidomys tridecemlineatus contig043335, whole genome shotgun sequence.
GGAUGUGGCUUAAUGGUAGAGUGCUUGCCUGGUAUGCACGAGGGUCUGGGUUCAAUACCCAGCACCA